UACGAAGGGGGCUAGCGUUGCUCGGAAUUACUGGGCGUAAAGGGCGCGUAGGCGGUUGCUUUAGUCAGGCGUGAAAUUCCCGGGCUUAACCUGGGGACUGCGCUUGAUACUGGGUGACUUGAGGGUGGAAGAGGGUCGUGGAAUUCCCAGUGUAGAGGUGAAAUUCGUAGAUAUUGGGAAGAACACCGGUGGCGAAGGCGGCGACCUGGUCCAUUACUGACGCUGAGGUGCGAAAGCGUGGGGAGCAAACAGG
rnacentral:rRNA from 1 species